rnacentral:rRNA from 1 species
UACAGAGGUCCCAAGCGUUGUUCGGAUUCACUGGGCGUAAAGGGCGCGUAGGUGGCCUGUUAAGUCGAACGUGAAAUCCCCGGGCUCAACCCGGGAACUGCGUCCGAGACUGGCAGGCUUGAAUCCGGGAGAGGGAUGUGGAAUUCCAGGUGUAGCGGUGAAAUGCGUAGAUAUCUGGAGGAACACCGGUGGCGAAGGCGGCAUCCUGGACCGGCAUUGACGCUGAGGCGCGAAAGCCAGGGGAGCAAACGGG